UACGGAGAGUGCAAGCAUUAAUCGGAAUUAUUGGGCGUAAAGGGCGCGUAGGCUGAAGAGCCAGUCAGAUGUGAAAUUCCGAAGCUCAACUUCGGAGCUGCAUUUGAAACUACUUUUCUAGAGGAUUGACGGAGAAAACGGAAUUCCACGUGUAGCGGUGAAAUGCGUAGAUAUGUGGAAGAACACCUGUGGCGAAAGCGGUUUUCUAGUUAAUACCUGACGCUGAGGCGCGAGAGCGAGGGGAGCAAACAGG
rnacentral:rRNA from 1 species